AAGACCUUGCGCUUUUGGAGCGGCCGAUGCCUGAUUAGCUUGUUGGUAAGGUAAAAGCUUACCAAGGCUUCGAUCAGUAGCUGGUCUGAGAGGACGACCAGCCACACUGGGACUGAGACACGGCCCAGACUCCCACGGGAGGCAGCAGUGGGGAAUUUUGGACAAUGGGGGCAACCCUGAUCCAGCCAUGCCGCGUGAGUGAAGAAGGCCUUCGGGUUGUAAAGCUCUUUCAGCCGGAACGAAACGGUUACGGUUAACACCCGUGACUACUGACGGUACCGGAAGAAGAAGCACCGGCUAACUACGUGCCAGCAGCCGCGGUAAUACGUAGGGUGCGAGCGUUAAUCGGAAUUACUGGGCGUAAAGCGUGCGCAGGUGGUUUUGUAAGUCAGAUGUGAAAGCCCCGGGCUCAACCUGGGAACU
rnacentral:rRNA from 1 species